UCCCUGGUAGUAUAUCGGUUAGUACACGCGCCUGUCAUGUAAACUGACCGCGCGAAAGCGGGGUUCGACUCCCCGCCAGGGAG